GUAUUUGGACUGUAAAUAUGAUUCUUACGCACCAACAAUGGGGAAGCAAAAUCAUUGAAUCGGUAGGUAACUUCCAAAGGCUUCAGCUUUUCAAUAUAUAAUCUCUUCAACCCAUCAAUAAUUGAAGUAACUGAGCUCAGAGGUAUCUGAUAUCAAAUAUAUCAAAUGCAUAAUCAUAAUGUUAGUUUACAAGGCCAAAAAUUAGGAAUGAUUCUCCAAGCAUCAAAUAUUAAGUCAUGCAAUGAUAAACAUUACAGGGGAUGUUAUUUAUCCUCAGUGCUGUCUUCAACUAGGGUGCCACACUCAACAUUCCUAUCAUUAUUAUUAUGAAAUAUAAUGCUAUUCAAGUUGCGAACAAUCCAUUUCACACAAGCAAAAAAGCAAGUCAACACCAAUUGUCAUUUGAUUUAUAAAACACUUUAUUCCUAAAUCCACAGCUCAUCUGUCACUAAACUACUAGAUAGCACAUAGAUUUAUUCAUAAGCAGCCAUGCAAACACAAGCAAUAUAUUGCACAAACUCUUCAUCUUGUAUUGCUGGUUUGACAGUGUAGAUAUAUAAUUGUAUAUUGGUGUAUUGUGCAAGUACAUUUGCAACAAAAUCUAACAGGUUUAGAGCUUACUGCACCACAUGGAGAUUCAGUUGUUUUCAAAGCCCAUGUACAAAGUGAGAAAGACUAACCAAAUUGCUUUCACAACAAAAAAUAAGUUCUUGAAGUCUUAACUGAACCACAUAGAAAUCCAAUUAGGAGAAGAAUCUACGAUGUCCAAAAAUCUAUCUAUCCCUGCCAAAAUUGUAGAUCGAAAGGACCAAAACUACCAUGAAGACAUCAUACUUAGAGAUGGAAAAGGGAAGGAAGAGAAAGACAUGGGCAAAUGUAAUACCUUCUUUGCUGAUUUCGAGCUAAACCACUGAGUUGUUAAUGAAACUUGGGGCUGAGAACUUACUGCAUCAGAAACAAUUUGAUAGUUAUAUAAUUGUUCGACUAGCUAUUCAUCUCUAACUCCAUUAAACACAAUAAGUUCCGUACCAUCAGGAUCAGGAUUGCUUUUCUUGGGUGAAGGCUUAGUUUUCUAGAAAGCAAACAAUAAACAGCACGUUUAACAUUAGCAAAUCAAUUUGAAAACUUUAGUUGUACAUGGUGUUAAAAAAGGAAUGACACUUACAGCUAACAGAAUAUCCAAACCCUCCAUCACUGGAGGUUUCAAGCUAUCCAAUUCUGCAGUCACAAAAUUAUGUGUGUCCAGGUUGCAUAAAAAGAUCAGCAUGCUUGUAGAGAAGUACUAAGUCAGUUCUAAUAGUUUAAUCUAAAAAUUUUAGCUGAUUAUUUUUCUCUCCUUCACUGUUCACCUGAAUGAGUGAGGGCAUCCUGGGUAAUCUCGUUCCCUGCCUGUGCUAGUGAAACAAGCUGUCCAAUUCAUAAAGCAACUAGCAAUUAGGGAAAAUUAAGUCUAUGUUUUUGCCAAUAUGAAUGCAUAUCAUGAAACAAUAUGAGGUAAAAACCUGCAUUGCUGCAAUGAACUCAUUUAAUCCAAGGAAACCUUGUCGUUUAGAGUCCGCAAGGGCCCAGACCUUCAGGCAAAUUUCAGCAGCAAAAUAUCAAUGCAAAAAUAUAUGGUCACAUAGUGAAGAAAAUGAUUACAAACUACUGAUGAUCGUGAAUAAAGAAAUGAAUUACUGUGAGACUUUGGCAUGUGGAAUAAGUGAUUCCAGUAAAUAUAAAUACAAAGAAUAAGCCUUUUUUCCCAGUUGAACAAGGUAAGAUAUUAAUGAGCUCCUAUUAAUCCAUUUCACAGAAAAAAUGAUCAGAAAUGUGCUUGUACGCAAGUAAGCUAUUUCCAAAUAAGCAAACAAAAAAAAAAAAUCUGAGUAGCACAUAAAAGUAGUUGAAGAAAGAUUCAACCAUUGAGACUAGGUAGCCAGUCCAAUGAUCUGUUGCAGUAUUUGAAGAUGAGGGGUUACCAUGAGCACAUUUGGCCUUAUGACACAGGCUAGUAGUUUUGAAUGUGCACACUACAAGCCAAAUGAAUUUUAAGGGCAAAAACAAGAGCAUGGAAACUGUAUCAACCUAAAUGUGAGGUAAAAUAGUUGUAGUUAAAAAGGUUGUGUGGUAUUCUCAUCAGGUCAAUGACCAAAUUCCUCAUAAGCCAGUUCGGGUUGAUCCCCUCCUCNNNNNNNNNNNNNNNNNNNNNNNNNNNNNNNNNNNNNNNNNNNNNNNNNNNAUGACAACAACAAAUCGAUCAGUUGUAGGCUCUGGUCCAAUAUGAGCACCUGGGUAGCUGGAUCUUAAUAAAUGUUUGAUGAACGUUGUUUUUCCAGUAGAAUAUUGUCCCAAUAACAUAACCAUCGGCUUUGCAUCAAAAUCACUAUUUGUCAACAAUGGGGAAGCAAAAUCAUUGAAUCGGUAGGUAACUUCCAAAGGCUUCAGCUUUUCAAUAUAUAAUCUCUUCAACCCAUCAAUAAUUGAAGUAACUGAGCUCAGAGGUAUCUUCUUUGCUGAUUUCGAGCUAAACCACUGAGUUGUUAAUGAAACUUGGGGCUGAGAACUUACAUCAGGAUCAGGAUUGCUUUUCUUGGGUGAAGG
rnacentral:lncRNA from 1 species